rnacentral:RNase_MRP_RNA from 15 species
CCCACCUUGAACCCCAUCGGCAAGACAUUCAUCGUCGAGCUCCAGGUCUGCGGGAAAGUCCCCGUCCAGAUCGUCGAAGUCCGAGGG